rnacentral:rRNA from 1 species
AACGAACGCUGGCGGCAGGCCUAACACAUGUAAGUCGAACGCUGUAGCAAUACAGAGUGGCAGACGGGUGAGUAACGCGUGGGAACAUGCCCUUCGGUUCGGAAUAACUCAGGGAAACUUGAGCUAAUACCGGAUACGCCCUUAGGGGGAAAGAUUUAUUGCCGAAGGAUUGGCCCGCGUCCGUUUAGCUAGUUGGUGAGGUAAUGGCUCACCAAGGCGACGAUCGGUAGCUGGUCUGAGAGGAAGAUCAGCCACACUGGGACUGAGACACGGCCCAGACUCCUACGGGAGGCAGCAGUGGGGAAUAUUGGACAAUGGGCGCAAGCUUGAUCCAGCCAUGCCGCGUGAGUGAUGAAGGCCCUAGGGUUGUAAAGCUCUUUCGCCAGGGACGAUAAUGACGGUACCUGGAUAAGAAGCCCCGGCUAACUUCGUGCCAGCCGCCGCCGUAACAC